GACGAACCGUGCAAACGUUGUUCGGAUUCACUGGGCUUAAAGGGCGCGUAGGCGGAUGACCAAGUCAGGGGUGAAAUCUUUCGGCUCAACCGGAAACGUGCCCCUGAUACUGGUUGUCUUGAGGGGGGUAGGGGCGGAUGGAACUUCCGGUGGAGCGGUGAAAUGCGUAGAUAUCGGAAGGAACGCCGGUGGCGAAAGCGAUCCGCUGGACCCCUUCUGACGCUGAUGCGCGAAAGCCAGGGGAGCAAACGGG
rnacentral:rRNA from 1 species